rnacentral:lncRNA from 9 species
CCAGAAGGGCCUGGCUGCACAGGAACAGAGCCAAGCCUGUUUUCCAACAAUUAACUUUUCUCAACCACAGCCAUUCUCUGAGGCAAAAUCAAAGUCAGAGUGGCUUCCUUCCUCCCCAUACCUGCCCUACUCUAAAGGGUGAAAACACAGCUCAAGUGGGCACCCCUGGGAAAGCAAAUCUGAAAUGAUCAAGUCACCAGGAAUUGGACUGAGAACCGACUAUACAUGCGCCAUUUCCCAUGACUCCUCCAAAAGCCUUCGAAGAGAACUGAAACUACUAACCCAAGAUCACAGACAUAUUCUCACUAGACCCGGAAGGAUGAAUGACACAAAUCUAUGACCUGGAGCAGGGUCCAGCCUGGCCCAAACAAGAUCAGUAGAAUGAUACUGGAUGUCACACGAGCAUGUGAGUAAGAAAAAAUGAUAGUGAUUUAAGACACUGAGCUUUGGAGUGAUUUGUUAUAAAGCAUUUUAUGGGAUAAUGGACUAAUAGAAGCUUUAAUUUUUCGUUGUUGUUCAAAGACUUCUUUGAGAAUAUGAUGAAAGCUGUGGACUUUCUUCCUAAUAAAAGCAUAUGCACAAAUUUAAAAUUUUGCACGAAGUUUCAGACGAUUCACUGACCUCCUAAAUUGCCAAAGUACAUGCGUUUAUUAAGUAUGUGUUCUUUAUCAUAUGUCGAAACAAAAAUAACUGACAUUUCAACUUAGAAAAAAAUGUAUCUGUUUUGCUUUCCCAAUCAUUUUUUAACAAUUUAUUUUAACAUAUCCCCUUUUUUCCUCAGCACCUACAUUCAACCCAUGAGCACAUCCAACCAGUAGCACCUCAAAAGCAUAUUUUGAGACUGUUCACAAUUCUUCACCUUUACUAUCACCAUCCUAGUUCAAGUCACCAUCACCUCUCACCAGAAUGAUUGCAACAGUCUCAUAACUGGCUUCCUUGCCUCCUCUCUUGCUUGUCUACAAUCCAUUCUUCAUCCAACGGCUGAAGUUAUUUCCAAAACCUUCCCUUGGCAAUAAUUUGUUGGUCUAAUUCAAAGGGCAGUACACACUUAUGCCAAGAAUCACUUACAGAAUCAGUUAAGAAAUGAAAUUAUAUUCUGCCCAGCAUGUACAAUGGGAAGAGGCAUAAUGAUUUCAAAAUAGGUUAUCCAUCUAUUUAUUCAUGUGUCUAGCAUGAUAAAUAAAUAACACAGUUAAUAAAGAAUCUUACAGGAUAGUACGCAAAAUAGUUUAUAAAUUUGCUUGUAUACAUGUGUGUAUUUAAAAAAACACUGUAUGUAUUAUACAAAUGAAAGGUAAUAAUAUUGUCAUCUCGCUGUCGCUUGUGUGUGUGUUUCAUUUCUGCAUGUUCAUACAUGUUCUUCCCUGACCACCCCUGACUUUCCAGCUGUAUCUCAAAUGUCCCUCAUCCUUAUUUACUUUCUCAGUUAUAAAUUAGUCCUAAGGAUAUAAUGUACAAUAUAAUAUAAUGGUGAUGACAAUUAACAGUACUGUAUUAUGUAUUUGAAGGUUUCUUUUACAAAGAAAAAAUUGUAUAACUAUGUGUGGUAGUGGAUGUCAACUUAAACUUAAUGUGGUAAUCAUUUUGCAACAUACACAUGUAUCAAAUCAUGAUGUUGUACACCUAAAACUAAUGCAAUGUUAUAUGUCGAUUAUAUCUCAAUAAAAAUUUUAAAAAAACAUUGUAAAUGUUUUUAAUUUAUAAAAUUAAAAAAAUA